CUGUCAUCUUAUUAACAUUCUAAUACACAGGUGGCGUUGUUUCCUUUCGGAAAUAGAUAAGCAAGUUUCACUCGUAGCGAAUGUUAAAACUUGAUUAUGUAUCGAAAGCAACGUUAUUGUUUUGGCUUCUUGAGUAUAUAUUUAUCCUAAGUCCGACUUACUAGAAAUAUAGCGUUCUCUCCUGAAAAGUGGUAACAAACCAUAUCGUACACGACAUAAAGAAGUAGCAAGCUUCAAAGUUCAAACUGAGUUGACUGCUACCUGGUGCUAACAACAGCAUGGAAAGAUCUAUGAAAAACUAUUGCAGUUCAGAAUGUUGCUCAAGUAACCGUUCAGGUGCAGAAUGAAAAGUUUUCGGCUGCUGGCAAUACUUUAGCCCUUAUAUCGGAUGAAUGGGAGUAAAUGCGAAUAUCAGAAGUAGAGAUUUAUAUUUUAUAAAUGACGAUAUAAUCUUCCGAUCUCACUACGCUUAACGACAAUAUCGAUUCAACGAACGCUUAUGUAUCAUCGCAAUAGGUUUCAGCUUAGCGAAUACUCCAGUUGUUGACAUUUCUACAAUAUUCCGUAGGUCCUAAUACUAUGCAAUCUGAAAACGUACUGACAUGAUUCUAAAUAUUAAUUUGUUCGUAUACGAAUAUUAUGCUCUUUUUUUAUUCCCGAUAGAUGGAAGAUCUUACAAUUUUUCUUCUGUUCACAACCAUAUCCUGCAAUUCGAGCAUAGAAAAAUUUAAUAUGAACACAUAUGAACACAUUUAUUCUAUUAUUGUGUUAAGAUUUUAUUGUUGUCAAUUCGCACGGAAAAAUACCGCGAGAUUUUCUCGCUCGUAAAGAAGAUGCGUCACCGAGAGGCGAGAGAAUUUCACAGUUCUCGUAAUUUCGUUAGAGUCGUAAGAUAAACAGUAAACUCGACAUGAAAGUACGUGAGAUCGCAAAUCUCGAAGCGUCUAGUAACGAAAACGUGAUGAUAGGGUCAAUGACAAGACUCCAAAUGCGAUACCAACGAACAGCGCGAGAAGGCUACUGUUUUUCUUCAAUGAUACGACUAGCGAUACCAAGACGCGCUACACGUUUUUAUACUAUUGUAUUUGUGUAAUGUAUUUGAAAUAUCAUACCUUCCCGCUAAUUCUUUUUAAAUAAAUUACAUUAAAU